UUCUGGUUGAUCCUGCCGGAGGCUACCGCUAUUGGAGUUCGAUUAAGCCAUGCGAGUCGAGAGUCUUAGGGACUCGGCGCACCGCUCAGUAACACGUGGGUAACCUGCCCUAUGCUGGGGAAUAACCUCGGGAAACUGAGAAUAAUACCCCAUAGCCCACUACGCCUGGAACGGUGAGUGGGUCAAAGCUCCGGCGGCAUAGGAUGGGCCUGCGCCGUAUCAGGUUGUAGGGGGUGUAAAGUACCCUCUAGCCAUCAACGCGUACGGGUGUUGGGAGACAUUGCCCGGAGAUGGAUUCUGAGACACGAAUCCAGACCCUACGGGGUGCAGCAGGCGCGAAAACUUGGCAAUGCGAGCAAUCGUGACCAGGGAACUCCAAGUGCGUAGGGUAAGACCUACGCUUUUCUUGACUCUUCAAAGGUCUUGGAAUAAGGGGUGGGUAAGGACGGUGCCAGCCGCCGCGGUAAUACCGGCGCCUCAAGUGGUAGUCGCUUUUAUUGGGCCUAAAACGUCCGUAGCCGGUCUGGUACAUUCGUGGGUAAAUCAACCCGCUCAACGGGUUGAAUUCUGCGAGCACGGCCAGACUUGGGACCGGGAGAGGUGUGGGGUACUCUCAGGGUAGGGGUAAAAUCCUGUCAUCCUGAGAGGACCACCUGUUGCGAAGGCGCCACACUAGAACGGAUCCGACGGUCAGGGACGAAACCUAGGGGCACGAACCGGAUUAGAUACCCGGGUAGUCCUAGGUGUAAACGCUGUGGACUUGAUGUUGGGGGCGCUCCGAGCGCUUUCAGUGUCGAAGCGAAGGUGAUAAGUCCACUGCCUGGGGAGUACGGUCGCAAGGCUGAAACUUAAAGGAAUUGGCGGGGGAGCACUGCAACCUGAGGAUUGUGCGGUUUAAUUGGACUCAACGCCGGGA
rnacentral:rRNA from 1 species